UACGUAGGGGGCAAGCGUUGUCCGGAAUCAUUGGGCGUAAAGCGUGCGUAGGCGGCCCGAUAAGUCUGCUGUAAAAGUCAACGGCUCAACCGUUGAAAGCCGGUGGAUACUGUCGGGCUAGAGUCCGGAAGAGGCAAGUGGAAUUCCUGGUGUAGCGGUGGAAAUGCGCAGAUAUCAGGAGGAACACCGAUGGCGAAGGCAGCUCACUGGGACGGUACUGACGCUGAGACGCGAAAGCGUGGGGAGCAAACAGG
rnacentral:rRNA from 1 species